AGCUUAGCAAUAGUGCUAUAAAACACCACAGGGCCAUGAAGCAGUUCCUGAGUUAAUAGAGGGCAGAUGCAGCGAAGGCAAGGACUAGAGACAUCUGAGAAGAUUGCAUUCCCAUUCCAGGCACAACAGGCACUGUGUUAGUAAUUCUGGAAUAAGGAGGUGAAUAUUGCAGCUGUGGAGCAGCUGAGGCGUUCACACUUAAUGCUCAGACCUCAUCAGACUCCACACAAGAACAGUUCACCUCAAUAUGGGCAGCAGGUCAUAGGACAAGGACUCUUUAAGUAGGUAAAGACUGCGUGAAGAGACAACUUAGCAGAGUGAGAGAACUUACACCGAACAUGAAGAUAAUGGUUUGAAUCUUUCUUGUCUCCCAAAAGCUUAUCCUUUCCAAUGGUUUUAUUG